rnacentral:lncRNA from 1 species
UCAUAUCAGUGUACGGUCAUGCCAAAACACUCUUGUUGUUCAAUUAGUUAACAUUAAGAUAAGCAUCCUAUAACAAUUAUCGUAUGUAAUAUGUACACGAUGGUUGACUUGGUCAACUUACAACAUAAAUCAGGACAUCGUUUAUAUCAGACCGAAUACAGACAAAGUACAGACACAAGUGCACCAACAAGUCUUUAUGUGGGUUAA